AGUGAACGCUGGCGGUAGGCCUAACGCAUGCAAGUCGAACGGCAGCACAGGAGAGCUUGCUCUCUGGGUGGCGAGUGGCGGACGGGUGAGGAAUACAUCGGAAUCUACUCUGUCGUGGGGGAUAACGUAGGGAAACUUACGCUAAUACCGCAUACGACCUACGGGUGAAAGCAGGGGAUCUUCGGACCUUGCGCGAUUGAAUGAGCCGAUGUCGGAUUAGCUAGUUGGCGGGGUAAAGGCCCACCAAGGCGACGAUCCGUAGCUGGUCUGGGAGGAGGGUCAGCCACACUGGAACUGGGACACGGUCCAGACUCCUACGGGAGGCAGCAGUGGGGAAUAUUGGGCAAUGGGCGCAAGCCUGAUCCAGCCAUACCGCGUGGGUGAAGAAGGCCUUCGGGUUGUAAAGCCCUUUUGUUGGGAAAGAAAUCCAGCUGGCUAAUACCCGGUUGGGAUGACGGUACCCAAAGAAUAAGCACCGGCUAACUUCGUGCCAGCCGCCGCCGUAA
rnacentral:rRNA from 1 species